AUACGGAGGGUGCAAGCGUUAUCCGGAAUCACUGGGUUUAAAGGGUGCGUAGGCGGCUUGGUAAGUCAGGGGUGAAAGUCUGCCGCUCAACGGUAGAAUUGCCUUUGAUACUGCCAGGCUUGAAUAAGCGCGAGGCAGGCGGAAUGUGGCAUGUAGCGGUGAAAUGCAUAGAUAUGCCAUAGAACACCAAUUGCGUAGGCAGCUUGCCAGAGCUUUAUUGACGCUGAGGCACGAAAGCGUGGGGAGCGAACAGGAUUAGAAACCCCUGUAGUCC
rnacentral:rRNA from 1 species